rnacentral:snRNA from 1 species
CUACUUACCUGGCAGGGGAAAUGCUGUGAUCGCUAAGGUGGUUUUCCUAGGGACGGGAGAUAACUGCUUUUCUGGCAUGGGUAGUAUCUUUGGAGAUAAUGUAUA